rnacentral:misc_RNA from 1 species
AAGUCGUAACAAGGUUUCCGUAGGUGAACCUGCGGAAGGAUCAUUAUCGAGUUUUGGACAGGUUGUAGCUGGUCUCUCACGAGGCAUGUGCACGCCUGGCUCAUCCACUCUCAACCUCUGUGCACCGCUUGUAGGAUCGGUGAAAAGCUGACGACAGUCGGUUGGAAACCUUUCCUACGUAUUUUGUUACACACGCUUCGGUUACAGAAUGUCACUUGUGUUUUAACACAUCGCAUACAACUUUCAGCAACGGAUCUCUUGGCUCUC